GAUGAACGCUGGCGGCGUGCCUAAUACAUGCAAGUCGAGCGAACGGACGAGAAGCUUGCUUCUCUGAUGUUAGCGGCGGACGGGUGAGUAACACGUGGAUAACCUACCUAUAAGACUGGGAUAACUUCGGGAAACCGGAGCUAAUACCGGAUAAUAUUUUGAACCGCAUGGUUCAAAAGUGAAAGACGGUCUUGCUGUCACUUAUAGAUGGAUCCGCGCUGCAUUAGCUAGUUGGUAAGGUAACGGCUUACCAAGGCAACGAUGCAUAGCCGACCUGAGAGGGUGAUCGGCCACACUGGAACUGAGACACGGUCCAGACUCCUACGGGAGGCAGCAGUAGGGAAUCUUCCGCAAUGGGCGAAAGCCUGACGGAGCAACGCCGCGUGAGUGAUGAAGGUCUUCGGAUCGUAAAACUCUGUUAUUAGGGAAGAACAUAGUGUAAGUAACUGUGCACAUCUUGACGGUACCUAAUCAGAAAGCCACGGCUAACUACGUG
rnacentral:rRNA from 1 species